GGCCUCUGAACAGAUCACAGUGUGUUCAUUGCCCUAGGAGGCUUCAGUCCAACCUUUCUAUCCAGAAAGAGGUUUGCUUUCAUUUUGAGCAGACCCUCUUCCAUUCAGUGAGUACAGGAGAUCUACUGUGAUGAGCCCUCCAUCACUACCCAGAUUAAGGCUUUGCAGACACUUGAUGCGUCAAGGAGACUUUCAUAGUUCAGAGUAGACAAUGUGUCUGGAAGUGGUUUCAGCUCCUGCUUCAGUGAACAAUGGAGAGAAAGAAGGUGUACAUAUGUGUGCAUACAGGGUGAAGACUCCAUCGAGGGCCAGACCAAGUGUCCACAGCCAAUUUGCUGCAUCCCUCUGGCCCCUCACAUACUACUUCAUCCCAAGUGAAGGCUCCUUAUCUGUCACAAAGGCACAUCAAUCCUCAUCCAGCAAAUAAUUGGGGUCCACCUUCCUCCUGACCUGAGAGAACAGCAUUUCAAUGAGCCAAACUCCCACCAUUUGGAAAGUGUGGAUGCAGUCAUUGAAAAACACUUCCACAGUCAGAGAUCUGUGUCCUUCCUAGACCCCAGUCAAUUCUGGGUUUAAAAUACUCUGGGAGUGCUUAGGCCAGGAGU